rnacentral:rRNA from 1 species
ACUUUUAAUAAUAGAUCUCUUAGUUCUAGUAUUAAUAAAGAACGCAGCAAAAUGCGAUAAGUAGUGUAAAUUGCAGAAUUUAGUAAAUUAUUAAAUCUUUAAACGCAUAUUGCGCCCCUUAGUAUUCUAUAGGGCAUGCCUGUUUAAGCGUUAUUUGUACCCUUAAGCUCUGCUUAGUGUUAGGUGUUUGUUCUACUUAGGACUUGCCUUAAAAUAAUUGGCAGCUAGUAUAUUAGCCUAGAGCGCAGCACAUUUUACGCCUCUUGUUAUAGUUAUUAGUAUCUAUUAAGACACUUUUUAAGCUCUUAACCUUAGAUUAGGUAGGGAUACCUGCUAAACUUAAGUAUAUUAAUAAGUAGAGGAAAAGAAACUAAUAGGGAUUGCCCUAGUAACAGCGAGUAAAGCGGCAAUAGCUUAAAUUUAAAAUCUAGCUCUUUUAGGGUCCAAGUUAUAAUUUGCACAGGGCGCUUUAGCGUUAGUAGUAGUCUAAGUUCCUUAGAACAGGACGUUAUAGAGGGUAAGAAUCCUAUACGUAGUUACUAGCCUUUGCCAUGUAAAGCCCCUUUAACAAGUUAAGUUAUUUAGGAAUAUAGCUCUAAAUAGGAGGUAAAUUUCUUCUAAAGCUAAAUACUAGCUAGAGACUAAUAGCGCAUAAGUAGAGUAAUUAAAAGAUAAAAAGCACUUUAGAAAGAGAGUUAAAUAGCACGUGAAAUUGUUAAAAGGGAAGCGCUUAUAGCUAGACUUGCCUAUAGUUGCUUAUCUAGGCUUUUAUCUAGUGUACUCUUCUAUAGGUAGGCUAGCAUUAGUUUAGGUGGUUAGAUAAAGGUCUCUAUUACGUACCUCCCUUUAGGGAGGCCUUAUAGGGGAGACAAUAUGUAACUAGCCUAGACUAAGGUCCGCGUAUCUACUAGGAUGCUAGCGUAAUAGCUAUAAGCGGCCUGUCUUAAAAUAUAGACUAAGGAGUCUAAUAUCUAUACAAGUGUUUAGGUGUUAAGCCUAGACACUUAAUAAAAGUAAAUAGAGGUAGGACCCCUUUUAGGGUGCACUAUUAACUAAUCCUAAUAUCUUUAGAAGGAUUUAAGUAAGAGUAUAGCUAUUAGGACCUAAAAGAUAGUAAACUAUGCUUAAAUAGGGUAAAGCUAGAGGAAACUCUAGUAGAGGCUCGCAGCAGUUCUAACGUGCAAAUCAAUUAUUAAAUUUAGGUAUAGGGGCGAAAGACUAAUUAAACUAUCUAGUAGCUAGUUCCUACUAAAGUUUCCCUUAGGAUAGCAGUAAUAUAUUUAGUUUUAUAAGGUAAAGCAAAUAAUUAGAGGCCUAGGGGUUAAAAUAACCUUUACCUAUUCUUAAACUUUAAAUAUGUAAGAAGUCCUUAUUACUUAAUUAAACAUGGACACUUAAAUAUACUAUUACUAGUAGGCUAUUUUUAGUAAGUAGAACUAGCAAUACGGGAUAAACUAAACGCAGGGUUAAGGUGCUAGAAUACACGCUUAUUAGACACUACAAAAGGUGUUAGUUUAUCUAGACAGUAGGAUAGUAGCUAUAGAAGUUAGAAUCUACUAAGGAGUGUGUAACAACUUACCUGCUAAAUAAACUAGCCCUAAAAAUAGAUAGCGCUUAAGCGUGUUACCUAUACCCUACCGCCAGGGCAAGAUUUAAGCCCUAGCAAGUAGGCAAGCGUAGAGGCUUGUAACAAAGCCUUAGGGGUAACCCUAGGUAGAAUAGCCUCUAGUGUAGAUCUUAGUAGUAGUAGCAAAUACUUAAAUAAGAACUUUAAGGACUAAAGUAGGGAAAGGUUCUAUGUAAAUAGUAGUUAGAUAUAGGUUAGUUAAUCCUAAGAGAUAGGGUAAUUCUAUUUUAAUGUUAGCGCUUAUACCACGCCCUUAAAAGGGAAGCUAGUUAAUAUUCUAGCACCUAGAUAUAGAUUCUCCGCGGCAACGCAACUAAGAGCAGAGACCUUAGCAGGAGCCCUAAGAAGAGUUCUCUUUUCUUCUUAACAGUCUGUUACCCUAAAAUUAGUUUAUCUAGAGCUAGGGUUUAAUAGCUAGAAGAGCGCUACACUUUUACAGCGUUUAGUGCGCUCCUAACAAGCCUUAAAAAUCUACUUAAAGAAAUAGUUUUUACGCUAGGUUAUACUUAUAACUAUAGCAGGUCUCUAAGGUAAAAAGCCUCUAGUUAAUAGAAUAAUAUAAAUAAGGGAAGUUAGCAAAAUAGAUCUAUAACUUUAGGAAAAGGAUUAGCUCUAAGGGUUAGGUACGUUAGGCCUUAGGGAGAAGCCUCUAGCGCAGAAGGGCACUAACUGCAAGGUAGGCGCCUCUUAGCGCUAGGGUGCAGACACCCUUAGCAGGUUUUAGCCGUCUAGCGUACGUUUAAUAACUAACUUAGAACUAGUAUAGAUAAGGGGAAUCUAACUAUCUAAUUAAAAUAUAGUAUUAUAAUAGGUAGAAAGUAGUAUUAACGUAAUAUAAUUUCUGCCUAGUGCUCUAAAUAUUAAAGCAAAGAGAUUUAACCAAGCGCGGGUAAAUAGUAGGAGUAACUAUAACUCUCUUAAGGUAGCUAAAUACCUUAUUAUCUAAUUAGUAACGCGUAUAAAUAGAUUAACAAGAUUCCUACUAUCCCU